UACGUAGGUCCCGAGCGUUGUCCGGAUUUAUUGGGCGUAAAGCGAGCGCAGGUGGUUUAUUAAGUCUGGUGUAAAAGGCAGUGGCUCAACCAUUGUAUGCAUUGGAAACUGGUAGGCUUGAGUGCAGGAGAGGAGAGUGGAAUUCCAUGUGUAGCGGUGAAAUGCGUAGAUAUAUGGAGGAACACCGGUGGCGAAAGCGGCUCUCUGGCCUGUAACUGACGCUGAGGUUCGAAAGCGUGGGUAGCAAACAGG
rnacentral:rRNA from 1 species